rnacentral:rRNA from 1 species
CCUACGGGGCGCAGCAGUGGGGGAUAUUGGACAAUGGGGGGAACCCUGAACCAGCGACGCCGCGUGAGUGAAGAAGGAUUUCGGGAUUUAAAGCUCUGUCAGCAGGGAAGAAAGAAAUGACGGUACCUGACCAAGAAGCCCCGGCUAACUACGUGCCAGCAGCCGCGGUAAUACGUAGGGGGCAAGCGUUAUCCGGAAUUACUGGGUGUAAAGGGAGCGUAGACGGUUAAGUAAGUCUGACGUGAAAGU